AUCAUUUUAUAUCUUUGAUCACCUCUUGCAUGUGUUGUGCAUAGCUUCUUCCUGGUGGAAUGAAUAUCACAUCUUCCCAGCCUGAAUUCUUCUCGCUCCUCUACAUUAAUCAUUCAAUUCAUAUUUCAUCAGAUUAUCACUGGAACAUCUUCCAAGCUCCCAACCUGUGAAAGGGCAAGGUUGAUUAGUUUCAUGGUGAAGAUAAGAAGACUCUCAACAUACCAAUGCUGUGGAACUUCUUUAUAGUAUUGAUCUAUAUAUAAGGGCAGUAACGUUUAUUUUUCUUCCUCACUACAAGAAGCUCAGACUGCAGAUGGCAACAACAUAUAUGAAAAACAGGCAAAGACAUAGCAAAAACACCAAAACAUAAGGGAGCUUCAUCGGUGUAGAUAAGCGCAGAGAACAUGUAACCAAUUAAGAUAGUAGUAUUACUAAUUAAGUGAAGGAUCCAUGAAUACAAAAGCAGGCAUUACAGUGCAUCUCUUCAAUUGUUUUAAAUUUUUUUUUAAUACCAGACUAAUAAUUGCAGCAGUAUACAA